UGGGCUUGACAUGUCGGGAAUUCUGCAGAGAUGCGGGAGUGCCCUUCGGGGAAUCGGAACAC
rnacentral:rRNA from 1 species